GUGCCCACUUUGGCAGCACAUAUAUUAAAAUUGGAACAAUAUACAGAAGAUUAGCAUGGCCUCUGUGCAAGGACGAUAUGCAAAUUCAUGAAACAUUGCAUAUUAGA
rnacentral:snRNA from 3 species